rnacentral:misc_RNA from 1 species
GAAAUGCGAUAAGUAGUGCGAAUUGCAGAAUUCAGUGAAUCAUCGAAUCUUUGAACGCACAUUGCGCCCCUUGGUAUUCCAUGGGGCAUGCCUGUUCGAGCGUCAUUUGUACCUUCAAGCUUUGCUUGGUGUUGGGUGUUUGUCUCGCCUCCGCGCGUAGACUCGCCUCAAAACAAUUGGCAGCCGGCGUAUUGUUUUCGGAGCGCAGUACAUCUCGCGCUUUGCACUCAUAACGACGACGUCCAAAAGUACAUUUUUACACUCUUGACCUCGGAUCAGGUAGGGAUACCCGCUGAACUUAAGC